CUUGUGACCCUUCAGUGUGGGAGCCGACACUCUAACCACUGGCUAACACUGUGUUUCUUCUUCCCAAGCUUUCCAUGGUGCCCUCUCAAAUUCACUCCAUGGUAACAUGGAUGCCAACUUUCUGGUGAUGCAUAAAGCCAGUGCUCUUGAUAAUUAGACGCCUCUCCCCACCCUCGUCAUCCUAUCUGUGUGCCUCUGGUUACCUGAAGAGAUUUCCCUGGAUAUUGCAGCCCUCCUGCCCAAUGGACUGGGAAGACAAGUAUUCUGGUGGGCUCUUUGUAAACUGAUGAUAUUUCUGGAUUUUAAAAAAUUGCUCAAGCAGAAGUCUGGAAUUCAUCCUUCCAUAGCCAAUCAAUUGAUCACUAAUAUCUGUGAAUUCUACCUCCUGUUUAAACCUAUGCAAUGUUCUCCAUUCCUACUCCCACAACUAGUCAUCUCCCACCUAGACUACAUGAACUGCUUCCUAACUGGUCCCCACACUGAGAGCCAAUUUUACUCUUCCCAUCUAUUCUCCACUUAGCAGCCAGAAGUGAGCUUCUGAAAUGCAAGGAUGAACAUGCCACCCCUCUGCCUCAAACCCUGAUGAUUUUCCAUUGCCCUUAAAAUAAAGUCCAAACUCUUAGCAAACCCUUACAAGGCCCUCCUUGAUUUGGCACAUACUACCUUUUCAGUUCAUCUUAUGCCAUUCUUCUCCACUGUCACCAUACUGGCCUUCUUGUGCUUCUCCUUUGACUUGGAAUAAUUUUCUCUUCUGGCUGACCUUCUCCUUUACCCUAUUCCCCUCACAUAAGUGCCAAUUCCUUAUGGAAAGCCUUCCCAAACCUCUCCAGGCUAAAUUUAGUUCACUCAUAGCAUCCUGUACACCUCCUUCAGAUACUCAUCACAAAUAGCUAAGAUCUGGAAAUAGCCCAAGUGCCUAUCAGUAGAUGAAUGGAUAAAAAAGCUAUUGCA